rnacentral:rRNA from 1 species
GUGUCAGCAGCCGCGGUAAUACGGAGGGUGCAAGCGUUGUCCGGAAUCACUGGGUGUAAAGGGUGUGUAGGCGGGGCUGUAAGUCAGAGGUGAAAUCCCACGGCUUAACCGUGGAACUGCCUUUGAUACUGCAGCUCUUGAGUCCCGGAGAGGUGGCUGGAAUUCGUGGUGUAGCGGUGAAAUGCGUAGAUAUCACGAGGAACACCAGAGGUGUAGACGGGUCACUGGACGGGUACUGACGCUGAGGCACGAAAGCGUAGGGAGCAAACAGGAUUAGAUACCCUGGUAGUCCACGCCGUAAACGAUGGAUGCUCGGUGUUGCCCCGCUUUAGGGGCAGUGCCUAAGCUAACGCGUUAAGCAUCCCACCUGGGGAGUACGGCCGCAAGGUUGAAACUCAAAUGAAUUGACGGGG